rnacentral:lncRNA from 1 species
CUGGACAAUUUACUAGUGUUUAAGUAAAGCAAUGGGGAAACUCUCACUUACUUAUCUGGUCAAUUUGAUUAAGCGAUCUUGAUAUUGAAAAACCCUAAUAUUGAAAAUACUAGUAGGGGCCUUCCUUCAUACUAGGUUAAUGUUACAUCAUGAACUAUGGCAAGCUUGUUGUGUUACCACAAGGCUUGUAAUAAAGAUUGAUAUAAUAUUAUCCUGGUGCAUAAAAAAUGCUUACGGUAAUUUUGGAUGUACUACUUUGUUGUAUUGCCAUAAGGAUAGUUAUAUUCGAAUUUGACUGUAUUGAAAUGAAGGAUCUUACUUAACUAAAAUAUUAUA